rnacentral:tRNA from 1 species
GGCCCGUUCGUCUAUCGGCUAGGACGGUUCCCUUUCACGGAACAAAGAGGGGUUCGAUUCCCCUACGGGCUA